rnacentral:lncRNA from 1 species
AAUCCCUCACCAAACUCCAGUGAAAAUAAGUCCAAAAGGCAGCAAAAACCUGCUGCAAAUAGCCCCUAAAAAUACAGCACCUUUACUCCCACAAAACGCUAUGAAAAUCAUCAUCAAACAACCAUAACUGCUGCCCCAAAAAUAGCCCUUAAAGCUCCAUGAGAACGCAGCAAAAUCAGCACCAUUAAAGCACCAAAAUGACCUCAAAUCGGCCGCCGAACCAGCUACAAAACCAGCACCAAACAGUCCCCAAAACACCAUGUAAAGCAGCCAUUAACCACCCCAAACUCCUGCUGAAAUUCAGCUCCAAACCCAGCUGAAAAACAGCCCUUCGAAACCAGCAAAGCAGCUGCGAAAAUGACUCCAUAACACAACCAUGAAACUCCUCAAAAUUCCACCUGAAACCAACGUGAAAAUCAGCUGGGAAAACUCAGCUGAAAUCUGCCAUUGAAAUGCACCAAAAUCAGCCUCCGAAACACCUCAAAUCCACCCCAAAACGCAGCCAUUAAAGCUGCUCAAAACCACUCAAAAACGAGCAAAAAGGGACCUGAAACAGUAGCUCAAAUCGCUGCUAAUUCUACCAUGAAACAGUACCAAAAUACUACCAGAAUUCCAGCCGAACAAUCCUUGGAACACAAGUUUUAAGUCGAGUUUGAGGUUGCGGAUGAGGUCGUGGUUCGUUAGCUCCGGUCGAGUCCAUCUGAAAUUCAGUAUAUCGGAGAGUUUGUAAAAGACUAGGUUUGGAGGCUCUUUGUUCUGUUUGUUCAGAUUCGUCUGAGGUUCAUUCUUCUUUACAGUUUUCGCUCCUAAUACAUUUUUUAUUGUCAGUUUUCUUCUGAUAUUUGCUGCUUUGUCCUAUUAGUUGCUUGAGUUAGUGUUUCGCUGAUUUUUUUCGCUGUGCUUUUGUGGAAAGUUCAAUGCAUUGGUUUAUCCUAUUUUUAUGAUUGUUUGGAUUAUAAUUAUAUGGGUGUAGCUUGGUGAACAAAUUAAAAAGUGUUGAUGGGUCAUGAGCUUUUAGCUUUUAUAAAAACGGGAAAGCUCUGCUUGGGACUAGCUAUUGUAAUAAAAUUAUUUCAUUAAGUGGGCAGGGGAAUUUGCUUCUCUUUCAAGGAUAAUUGGUCAUAUUGGAGAGUGGACCUUUUAAGUAUAAUUUAAUGGAGUCUAGAUAUAGCUGCUCCGUUUGCACUUAGUUUGCUGGCCCAUUCACAAAUUGGUUGGCCCAAUUAUUGUAAAUAUAUAAGAUGUUCUUUUCUUUAACUACUACAUGGGCCAACUAUCAAUGAAAUUCAUAACAUCUUCCCCACGAUUUUACUUCGAUAACUUCGUGCCUCGCAAUAAUAUCAAAGGAGAGAAUGAAUAAUAAACACCGUUAGAGUGCUUUAGGUGCACUUUUAAUUUAUUAUCGUGAUUGUGUACAUGUUCGCGUGACAUGAUUACGAUUCCCAAAAUAAAUCAAAGUACGCGUUCGCGCGACUUUGGCCAAAUAAUCUUAAUAAUAAUAAAGUAUUAUUAAUUGUGUAUACGUACGCGUGACAUGAUUUUCGCACACCAAAUAAAACAGAUUUAUACACAUGUGAUCCGUUUCCAAGAUAAAUCCAUAAAGCGCCAUAAUUAAAAGCGGUAAAAGGUAAAACGUGCAUAGGUUAUAAAAAUACUUAAUUAAACAAUUUAAUUAAGCCAGGUAUGAUUAAAAGCGACCGUGCUAAAACCACAGAACUCGGGAAUGCCUAACACCUUCUCCCGGGUUAACAGAAUUCCUUACUCGGUCUUUUAUUUUUUGCAGACUUUAAACAUAGUUAAAUUUCCUCGAUUUGGGAUUUAAAAUAAACCGGUGACUUGGGACACCAUAAAGUAUUCCAAGUGGCGACUCUAAAAUAAAAUAAAUAAUCCCAUUUCGAAACCGGUGAUUGUCAUGCCAAGACCGUGACGCUGGCUAUGCCAGGUGUGAUGUUUAUCUAGCCUUUGUGAGGGAUGUCAGUGCUGAUCCUCCUACCGUUGAGUCAGUUCCGGUAGUGAGAGACUUUCCUGAUGUAUUUUCAGUAAAUUUUCCAAGCAUGUCGCCCGAUAGGGAUAUCGAUUUUGGUAUUGACUUGUUGCUGGAUACUCAGCUCAUUUCUAUUCCAUCAUAUCGUAUGGCCCCAGCGGAGCUGAAGGAGCUAAAGGAGCAGUUGCAAGAGUUACUUGAUAAGGGAUUCAUUCAGCCUAGUGUGUUGCCGUUGGGUGCUCCGGUCUUGUUUGUGAAGAAGAAGGAUGGUUCUAUACUCAUGUGCAUUGAUUAUCGUCAGUUGGACAAGGUUACAGUGAAGAAUAAGUAUCCAUUGCCACGUAUUGAUGACCUAUUUGAUAAGCUACAGGGUGCAAGGGUAUUCUCCAAGAUUGAUUUGCGGUCAGGUUAUCAUCAGCUGAAGAUUCAGGAUCCAGAUAUUCCAGAGACUGCCUUUAGGACUCGGUAUGGUCACUACGAGUUCCUCGUGAUGUCGUUUGGGCUGACCAAUACCCCACCAACAUUUAUGCACCUGAUGAAUAGUAUAUUCCAGCCUUAUCUUGAUUCAUUUGUCAUUGUGUUUAUUAACGACAUCUUGGUGUACUCCCGCAGCCGGGAAGAUCAUGAGCAACACUUGAGGAUCGUGCUCCAGACCUAGGUCAUGUGGUGUCGAGUGAAGGGAUCAAGGUAGAUUCGAAGAAUAUUGAAGCAAUGCAGAUUUGGACUAGACCAUCUUCAGCUAUAUAGAUCCGGAGUUUUCUUGGUUUGGCCGGGUAUUAUCUUCGUUUCGUAGAGGGUUGCUCAUUUAUUGCUGCACCUAUGACGAGAUUGACCCAGAAGGGUGCUCCUUUCAGAUGGACUGAGGAGUGUGAGGCGAGUUUUCAAAAGCUCAAGACUGCUUUGACUACAACCCAAUGUUAGUGUUGCCUACGGGCUCCGGAUCCUAUACUGUGUAUUGUAAUGCGUCACAUGCUGGCCUUGGCGCGGUGUUAAUGCGAGACGGUAGGGUGAUUGCCUACACAUGUCGACAUGUGAAGACCCAUGAGAAGAAUUGCCCAGUCCGCGACUUGGAGUUGGAAGCCAUUGUUCAUGCAUUGAAGAUCUAUAUGCAUUAUUUGUACGGUGUCCAUUGCGAGGUCUUUACCUACCACCGGAGUUUGCACCAUCUAUUCAAAUAGAAAGAUCUUAACUUGCGGCAUCGAAGGUGGUUAGAGUUACUUAAGGACUAUUAAAUCACCAUUCUAUAUCAUCCCGGGAAGGCUAAUAUGGUGUCCGAUGCCUUGAGUCGAAAGACGGAGAGUUUGGGUAGUUUAGCAUAUCUACCGGUAGCAGAGAGGCCAUUAGCAUUGGAGGUUCAGGCCUUAGCCAACCAGUUUAUUAGAUUGGAUGUUUCGGAUCCUAGUCGAGUCCUUGCCUGGGUGGUUUCUCAUUCUUCUCUAUAUGUCCGUAUUAGAGAGUAUCAGUAUGACGACCCCACUUGCUUGUCCUCAAGGACACGGUUCAGCAUGGCGAUGCCAAGGAGGUUACUAUUAAGGAUGACAGUGUAUUACGGAUACAGGGCUGGUUAUGUGUGCCCAAUGUGGAUGGUUUGCGUGAGUUGAUUCUUCAGGAGGCCUACAGUUCACGGUACUUCAUUCAUCCGGGUGCCGUUAAGAUAUAUCAGGACUUGAGGCAACACUAUUGGUGGAGGAGGAUGAAGAAGGACAUAGUGAAGUAUAUAGCUCGGUGCCUAAAUUAUUAGCAGGUGAAGUAUGAGCAAUAACGACCGGGUGAUUUGCUUCAGCGGCUUGAGAUUCCUGAGUGGAAUGGGAGCGUGUCACCAUGGACUUCGUUGUUAGACUUCCAUGGACUUAGAAGAAGUUUGACGCGGUAUGGAUGAUUGUGGGCAAGUUGACCAAGUCGGCUCAUUUCAUUCCGGUAGUGACUACCUAUUCUUUAGAGUAGCUGGCUCAGAUCUACAUUCACGAGAUUGUUCGACUUCAUGGCAUACCAGUAUCCAUCAUUUCUAACCGGGGUACACAGUUCACAUCGCAUUUCUGGAAAGCUGUACAGUGUGAGCUAGGCACAUGGGUUGAGUUGAGUACAACAUUUCAUCAUCAGGCAGACAGACAUUCCGAGCGCACUGUUUAGAUAUUGGAUGAUAUGGUCAGCGCCUGUGUUAUGGAUUUUAGGGGUGCUUGGGAUCAGUUCUUGCCACUUGCGGAGUUUGCCUACAACAACAGCUACCAGUCGAGUAUUCAGAUGGCUCCGUAGGAGGCUCUAUAUGGGAGACGAUGCCGUUCUCCAGUUGGGUGGUUUGAGCCAGAAAAGGCUAAAUUAUUAGGCAUGGAUCUGGUUUGAGAUGCUUUGGAGAAGGUCAAGAUGAUCCAGGAUUGGUUUUGUACAACCCAAUCUAGAUAGAAUAGUUAUGCAGAUCGGAAGGUUCGCGAUGUUGAAUUCAUGGUUGGAAAGUGAGUCUUGCUCCGGGUUUCACCCAUGAAGGGUGUGGUGAGGUUCGGAAAUAAGGGCACGUUGAGCCCUAGGUAUAUCGGACAUUUUGAGAUUCUUGAGAGGACUGGAGAGGUGGCCUACAAGCUUGACUUGCCACCUAGUUUAUCUGCGGUUCAUCCGAUGUUCCAUGUAUCUAUGCUCCAGAAGUAUUAUGGUGAUCCGUCUCAUGUUUUAGACUUUAGCACAGUCCAAUUGGAUGAGGAUUUGACUUAUAUUGAGGAGCUAGUGGUGAUCUUGGACAGACAUGUCUGGAAGUUGAGAUCAAAGGAUAUUGCUUUAGUGAAGGUUCAAUAGAGAGGUCAUGCAGUCGAGGAAGUGACCUGGGAGACCGAGCACAACAUGUAGAGUCGUUAUCCUCAUCUAUUCACCGCUUUAGGUAUGUCCUUAUGCACGUUCGAGGACGUUUUCAUGCUUCACACAUGUGUGUUUAUGCUUUUAUGACUUGCGGGGUUGGUUAGUUUCGUUCCGCGAAGUUUUCAGGUUGAUUUGGAUCCUUGAUUCUUGACUUAGAAGUUUAAAUUUGAAAUUGUUGACCAAACUUUGACUUUUCUGAAAACGAUACCGGAAUUAUGUUUUUAUGACUCCGAUAACUUCGUAUUGUGAUUUCGGACUUGGGCGUAGAUUUUGGAAGUCCGUAGGUUGAUUUGUGUUGAUUUGUCGAAAUUUGGCAAUUAAAAGUUGAAAAGCUUGACCAUAGGUUGACUUUUAGCUAUCGAGCCCAGAAUUUAAUUUUGGGACUUGGAAUAGGUCCGGUAUGGUAUUUAGAACUUGUCUGCAAAAUUUGGUUUCGUUUGGAGUUGUUUUGAUAUAAUUCAGACGCUUAGUUGUAAUUCUAGAAGUUCUUGAAAAUUUCUUUGAACAUCAUGCGUUUUAGUGUUUGAUUCGUAGUUUUAGAUGUUAUUUUUGAAUUUUUAUCGUGCGAGUGAGUUCGUAUGAUAUUUUUAUACUUGUGUGGAUGUUUGGUUUGGAGCCCUGAGGGCUCGGAUGAGUUUCAGACAUGUUUUAGAGUCCUUUGGACUGAAAAUGGCAAGCAUUUGGUGUCUGGUGCUCUGGUGUCGCAAAUGCAAACACCAAGUUCUCAUUUGCAAAGGCGACAGGUGAGUGGCAGUUGUCGUAAAUGUUACCUCCCCUUCGCAUUUGCGAAGCUAUCAGAAAUUGGAUAGUGUUUGCAAUUGCGAACAAUUGUUCGCCUUUGCGAUAUUUCCCAGUUCGCAAUUGCGAAGACUUAAUCGCAAUUGCGAUGUAUGCUGAGUCUGUGAGGGUUCGCAAAUACGAGCCCUGAUAUGCAAUUGCGAGGGUUCACAAAUGCGAACCCUAUGUCGCAAAUUCGACAUCUCCCGCUGGUUAAAGGGCUGGGACACAGUAUUUUUGAACUCAUUCUCACAUUUUUGAACCCUAGACUCGGUAGGAGGCGAUUUGGAGAGAGAGUUUUCACCUACAAACCCUGAGUAGGUGAUUUUAAUCUAUUUCUAAUCAUAUUCCAUCAAUAUAUCUUAGAUUUUAACAUCAAAAUCCUAUGAAUCAAAGUGAAAAUUUGUGAAACUUUGUUAGGUUUUUGAAAAAUAAGAAAUUAAGUUUUGAGAGUCGAUUUGGACUCGGAUUUUGAAACUAAUCACAUAUAUGAACUCGUGAGGUCAUGGGUAGACGAAAUCUGCCAUUGGACUCGAGUUUUGACCGGGCGGGCCCUGGGUUGACCUUUGUUGACUUUUUGGGAAAAGUGUAAAGAUCUUAACUUUAUCUAUUGCAAUUGAAUUCUGUAGCAUUGUUUGAUGAUAUUGAGUCGAUUUUAUUUAGAUUUGAGCCGUGCGGAGGCGAACUUUAAGGGAAAAGCUAUUUUCGAGUGUUGAAUUAGCCUAGUUGAGGUAAGUGUCUUGCCUAAAUUUGUGUGGGAGAAACUACACCUUAUAAUUGGUAUUAUUUGCUUUUAUUGUGCUAAGUGAAAUCCGUGUACGCAAAGUGAUGAGUGGGUACACGGGUUGUACGUGGUAUUUGACCGGUUUAGGCUACUUAGACUAUUUUCAUGCUUUAAUCGAAAUGCCAUAUCAUGUUCUAAAUUCUCAUAGUCAAUUUAUCCUUAAUUGUGUUAGACUAUCCUUACAUGCCUUAAUUGACUUGUUUAGAACUUGUUCUACAUCCUACUUGCUAAAUUGCUCCCAUGCUUUAGUUGAACUUGUUGCCUCUUUUAUUGGUACAUUCUAUCUCUUCAUUGUUAAUCAUCAUUAUUUGGAAUUAUUGUUCGUGUUAUCUCUUUCCUUAUUGAUUUUUCGUUACUUGAAGUAAUUGUUCAUGUUAUCCCUUUACUUGUUGAUUUCCAUUAUUUGAGACUCAUUGUGAAAUAUUAUCUCUUUUAUUGUGAGUUAGUCUUAUCUAAUACCGUGGUUAUACAUUAUUUCACUCAUUGUUAAGUUAUUUGGUUUUGAAGUUGUGAAAGUCGUUAAUACGUUGAGGCGAUGUUGGUUAUUGUUGAAACAUCUAUCUUAUUGAGCAUUUUUUCAUUCAUUCAUUGUUGUUGAUAUUCUUGUAUACAUUGUGGUGGAUCCAUGGGCUAUUGUUGUGGAAUCAUUGGUAUUGUUGUGGUUUCUAGCAAGUUGUGAUAUAUGGGCACUUGUGGUGCAAAUUGUUAUUGUGAUAUGAUAUUGACGCGCAUGUGACGGUAUAAGGUUUGGGGUUAAUGUGCAUCCGAUGGUAUAAGGUGGGACUUAUGUGUGUGUGUUGCUUGUAGGGGAGCUACGUGAAGCCAUGUGGCAUCAUAAGGUGGGCUAAAGUGCGUGCAACUAUUUGGGGAAAACUGUUUUCAAAAACCUAUUUCAAAUGUAAGGCUCACGCGACGGUAUAAGGAAAGAUUGUAAUUGAAAUUGAGUAAUGUGAAUACGAGGCAGUACCUCAGUUGUGAUUCUUGAUUAUACGAGGCGGUACCUUGGUUUUAAUUUUAUUAUACCCCAGGCGGUACCUCGUUGUGAUUCUUGCUGUUUAUUUCAUGUUGCAAAGUGUUUUGGUGGGAAUAUUUUUUGUUGUUUCAUUCUUUUAUUAUUCUAGGAGUUGUUGUCUGUACAUGAUCAUUGUAGCCCCUUUAGUUGCUUCUUUUAUGCUGUUUCCAUUGUUGAUUUCCAGUAGUAGUUCAUGCUAUUAUCUUGUUUCGUAUCACUUGUUUCUUCACUUUCCAUUACAUAUACGUAUUACAUUUUUAUACUAUUUAUUUAUAUCCUAGUAUGUGUCUUGACCUGACCUCGUCACUACUCUACUGAGGUUAGGUUUGAUACUUACUGGAUACCGUUGUGUUGUACUCAUACUACGCUUCUGCAUAUUUUUUUGUGCUGAUCCAGGUGCAUCUGCUCGUGCCGGUCGUUAGAGAUUACCUACUAGCUUCCUUUUUUGGAGACUUCAAGGUAUGCCUGCUCGCCAUCCGCAGGCCUCAGAGUCACCUUCCCUUAUUCUCAGUUACUGCUGUAUUUUCUCUCAAACAAUGAUGUAUCAGAUAUUUUAGUUUAUUCAAUAGUGCUUAUGACUCUGUUCCACAGUUCUUAGGGAUUGUAUGGUUGAGAUUUUGCUUUUCAGAAGUUUUAUGAGUUUAUCAAACUGGGUUUAAGUAUUUUGUUAUAUACAAUUGUUCAAUUGUUAUCAAAUAUUAGGCUUACCUAGUCAUAGAGACUAGGUGCCAUCACGACAUCCUAUGGAGGGAAGUUGGGGUCGUGAUAUCAAGAUCCUUUCUCAAUACCUCACAACAUAAAUUCAUGUUCCUGACACAUGCCAAAUGUCCAAACCAAGCACCAAAAUGAAAACCGGGUGCCUACGCUCAUAGUGACACGACCCAAUUUCCCUUAUAGGCCGUAAUGGCGCCCAACGUAGUCGCUAGGCAAGCCAACGGUGAAUUAGCCGUGUAUUUAUUCUUUUUAUAAAUUUCAAAGUAGUUGAUUUUUAUUUAUUAAAUAAGUGAGAAGUGGAAAAUUUAAUAAAGUAAAGCGAAAAUUAAUGAAAGAGCAAAUGCAAUGAAAUAAAUGCUCAAAAGCCAUAAAGUCUACUAGCAAGUUUACAAGACCCGGUGUCACAAGUGUAUGAGCAACUAGUAGAAUAUACAAAUCACUAAGUUACUGUCUGAAAUAGAGUAGACAGAAAGUAAAUAUAAAAUAUAGACUCUGGGUGCUGCAGAACAGACUUAGAAAGCAGCUCACUACUAAGCCUCGAGGUAACGGGGGUGCAUGCCUGAAUGGACACUAGAUGCACAUGCCUCAAAUCCUACACGAUUAGUGCAGAAGUGUAGCGUGAGUACAUAAACAACAUGUAUCCAGUAAGUAUCCAUUCUAACCUCGAAGAAGUAGUGACGAAGGGUCGACAUUGACACUUACUAUGGGCCAAUAAUAAAAUACAGAAAUGCUAAAUAGGCAUGGAAUAUGUGAAUAAUAAAAAUAACUCAAUAGCAUGCAGUGAAUAAAUGAUUCUUUAACUGAUAGUAAAUUCCAAAACCCCGUUCUAACACAUACUAGUUCCAAAUCAACUUCGGUCAUUAAGUAAAUUAUAACCUCUCAAGCCAUAACAUAAUGUCAAGUGAAAUCGGGCUCUAAGUAUUAUCACGCACGAUUUAUGCCGAGGUCGUACAACCCGAUCCAAAAUACUGUGUGCACUGUCGAUGGUCGAACGACACAAACCAUAGAUGUAUCUAUUAUACUGCCGAAAUGAAUGACCCGCUCCCAUGAGAGUACAAAAGUUUACCUCGCUUGCGAAAGUACUUGCGACGCGAGAGUACAUGAAUUUCUCAGAGUUAUUAUGUAUUCCUCAAUUCUUCCCAAAAAUAAGAAAUCUAAAUUGGAAGUUUUCAACUUUAAAAUCUCUAGUCUCAGCUCUAUUUAAGAUAAUUAAUAUGCAUGACAAGCAUGACAGUACAAUUAAAUCAUGAUGUGAAUCUAAGACUACCCGGACAUCUCAUGGAAUAUAGCCGCGCGCGGACUCUCUUCACCUAGUGCGUACGUAGCUCCCCACACAAGUAAUACACAACAAAAAUACACCUAAGAGGAUGAGUUCCCUCUUACAAGAUUAGGCAAGAGACUUACCUCGUUCUCAAGCUCACUUGCGGUCCACUAGUCCACUCUAAAAGCCCCAAGUCGAUGCCGAACAAUUCGAAACUAGUCAAAUAUUACAUAAUUUAAUUAAUAUAUACUCAAAACUCCAUUAUUUAGCUAUUAGAGUAGUUACCCAACCCUAAUUGGGAGAUUCUUAAAAUUCGCCCCCAGGCUCACGUGCCCGAAUUCCGGAAAUUUUCGAAGAUAAAUAUUACCCAUAGCCUCACGAACUCAAAUAUAUAAUUUUUAUUUAAUUCCAUAACCAAAUUUCGUGGUUAAAUCCUAUUUCUAUCAAAACCCUAGGUUCUUCACAAAUCUCACAAGUUUUCACAAUCUUCCCAUGUUUAAUCUACCUAAAACCCCAUAAUUAACUUAAAAAUGGGUGGGAGUUACUUACCUUAGGAUAUUGAUGAGAAUCUCCCCUUAAAUGUGUUCUCAAAAUUGCCCAAGACCAAAUGAAAUGUGAGGGAAAAUGGCCUAAGUCUCGGAUUAAAAACCCUCACUGCCCAGCGACUCCCGCACCUACGACCACUUGAUCACAUCUGCGGAACCGCAAGUGCGGUCAAAAAGGUCGCACCAGUGAUCCCCCACUACCUCCAGCUUCCUCGCUUUUGCGGAUGGAGAGGCACUUGUGCGGUACCGCUUCUGUGGACUCCCUUCGCUUCUGGGUAUUCCUACCGCUUCUGCGACCCACAACCGGCUAGCCCAAGUCCGUAUCUGCGGAGCCUCGAUCGCUUCUGCGGGUGCACAGAUGCGGAAUAACCCUCACACCUAUGGCCACCCAGCUCCAGCCUUAGGUCCUCUUCUGCGACCACUGGUCCGCUUCGGCGAGGUCGCACCUGCAGCCAAAAUCUCGUAGGUGCGAAGGCACCAGAACUGAAGCACCAACAGUUCCCCCAAGCCAUUUCCGAGUCCGAGUCUGAUUCUAAUCCGUUUCACACACGGGGCCCCGGGACCCCAUCCAAUCAGACUCAUACAUCCAACAACAUGAUACAGACCCGCUCACAUGAUCAAAACACCAAAAUAACAUCUAGAAUUAAGAAUUGGACACCAAAACGCAUGAAUUCUACAUGAAACUCAAAAACUUCUAAAAACACUUCCGCGCGUCCGAUUUCUAUCAAAUCAACUCGGAAUGACGCAAAAUUUUGCAUGCAAGUCAUAAAUCACCAUACAGAACUACUCCCAGGCUCGAAAUCCCAAAUGGACCUCGAUAACACAAAAACCUACUCUAAACCAAACUUAAAGAACUUGAAAACCUUCAAUGUGCAAACUUCUAAUAUUAAGCGCCAAAAUGCUCCCGGGUCAUUCAAAACCCGAUCCGAAUAUAUGCCCAAGUCCAAAAUCAUCAUAGGAACCUAUUGCGACUGUCAAAUACCGGUUCCAAGGCCGUUUACUUAAAACGUUUACUCAAGGCAAACUUAACCAUUUUAAGCCAAUAUUAAGGAACUAAGUAUUCUGAUUUCAACCCGAACCCUUCCAAACCCGAACUAACCAUCCCCGCAAGUUAUAAAAUAGUAAAAACACGUAAGAGGAGUCUUAAUUAGGGGAUCAGGAAUCUAGAAAGCCUAACAACCGGUCGGGUCAUUACAUUCUCCACCUCUUAAACAAACGUUCAUCCUCGAACAGGUCUAGUAUCGUACCUGGAGUGCCGAAUAAGUAUGGAUAUAUGCUCCGCAUGUCCUUCUCGGUCUCCCAAGUUGCCUCUUCGACUAGUUGACCCCUCCACUGAACCUUUACCGCAGAAAUCUUCUUGGACCUCAAUUGGCGAACCUGUAUGUCAACAAUGGCAACUGGCUCCUCCUCAUAACCCAGGCUCUCAUCUAGCUAAAGCUGUAGUCUAACACAUGCGACCUAUCAGCAUGAUACUUCCAAAUCAUAGACACAUGAAAAUCCAGAUGAACUCCCAAUAGAUUGGGAGGCAAAGCAAGCUCAUAAGCAACCUCCCCAACUCGCCUUAAUAUCUCAAAUGGGCAUAUAAACCUUGGGUUCAACUUGCCCUUCUUCCUGAACCUCAUUAUUCCCUUCAUCGGCGAGACUUUCAAGAGAACCUUCUCGCCCACCAUAAAUGAUAAAUCACGCGCCUUCUAAUCCACGUAAUCUUUCUGUCUAGACUGUGUUGUGCAAAGUCGCUUCUGAAUCAACAUUUCCUUUUCCAAAGCAUCCUUCACAAAAUCAGUACCAUAUAACUUAGCCUCGCCGGGCUCAAACCAUCCGAUCGGCGAACGACAUCGCUGUCCAUAUAAAGCCUCAAAUAGAGCCAUCUCGAUGCUGGACUGAUAACUAUUGUUGUAAGAGAACUUGGCCAAAGACAAAAAUCGAUCCCACUGCUCUCCGAAGUCAAUCACACAUGCUCUGAGCAUAUCCUCCAAGAUCUAAACCGUCCGCUCUGGCUGCAUGUCGGUCUGCUGAUGAAAGGCUGUGCUGAGCUCUACCCGGGUCCUCAACUCACUCUGUACUGCCCUCCAGAAAUGCGAAGUAAACUGGGGGCCUCUAUCUGAUAUGAAGGAAACAUGCACACCAUGCAACCGAACAAUCUCCUGAAUGUAAAUCUGGGCCAAUCUCUUUGAAGAAUACAUAGUCACAACGGGAAUGAAGUAUGCCGACUUGGUCAACCUAUCGACAAUGACCCAAACUGAAUCAAACUUCCUCAAAGUCCGCAGCAACCCAACCACGAAGUCCAUAGUAAUGCGGUCCCAUUUCCACUCAGGUAUAACCAUUUGCUGGAGUAGGCCACCUGGCCUCUGAUGCUCAUACUUAACCUGCUAGAAAUUUAGGCACCUUACUACAUAUUCAACUAUGUCCUUCUUCAUCCGCUGCCACUAAAAUGCUGCCUCAGAUCGCGAUACAUCUUCGUAGCACAUGUAUGAAUAGAAUACCGAGAACUGUGUGCCUCUUCUAGAAUCUCCUCCAUCAAUCCGUCAACAUUAGGAAUACAUAGACGACCUAGGAGUCGCAGAACACCAUCCUCAUCAAUAACAACCUCCUUGGCACCACCUUGUAGUACCGUCUCUCUAAGAACCAACAAGUGUGGAUCGUCGUACUGACGAGCCUUAAUCUGCUCGAAUAAUGAAGACUGAGUGACGACGCAUGCAAGAACUUGCCUGGGCUCGGAAAUAUCCAACCUCACAAGUCUGUUAGCCAAGGACUAAAUGUCCAGCGCUAAUGGUCUCUCAUCUGCUGAAAUGAAUACCAAACUACCCAUACUCGCCGCCUUUCUGUUCAAGGCAUCCGCUACCACAUUCGCCUUGCCUGGAUGAUAAAAGAUGGUAAUAUCAUAAUAUUUUAGUAACUCUAGCCACCUGCGCUGCCUUAAACUGAGAUCCCUCUACUUGAACAAAUGCUGCAAGCUACGAUGAUCUGUGUAAACCUCACAGGACACCCCAUAAAGAUAAUGCCUCCAGAUCUUAAGAGCAUGAAUUAUCGCGACCAACUCCAAAUCAUGCAUGGGGUAAUUCUUCUCGUGGGGCUUCAACUUACGUGAAGCAUAUGCAAUAACUCGCCCUCCUGCAUCAAUACACAACCUAUGCCAACUUGUGAAGCGUCGCAAUGCACAAUAUACAUUCCUGAACCGGAAGGCAACACUAACACCGGUGCUGAAGUCAAGGAGGUCUUGAGCUUCUGAAAGCUCGCCUCACAUUCGUCGAACCAUAGGAAAGGAGCACCCUUCUUGGUCAAUCUAGUCAAAGGUGCUGUAAUGGAUGAGAAGCCCUCCACAAACCGACUAUAAUAACCUGCUAACCCUAAGAAGCUCCUAAUCUCUUUCACUGUGGUAGGACGAGGCCAACUCUAAACUGCCUUGAUCUUCUUGGGAUCUACCUUAAUACCCCCGCCUGAUACAACAUGCCCCAAGAAUGCCACAGAAUCCAACUAGAACUCACACUUGGAGAACUUAACAUAUAGCUUCUGUUUUCGCAAGGUCUGAAGCACCACUCUCAAAUGCUGCUCGUGCUCCUCCAUGCUACAUGAGUAGAUUAAUAUGUCAUCAAUGAAGACAAUGACAAACAAGUCAAUAUAUGGCCGGAACACCCAAUUCAUCAAGUCCAUAAAUGCCGCCAGGGCGUUAGUCAAACUGAAGGACAUCACUAGAAACUCAUAGUGGCCAUAUCUAGUUCGGAAAGCCGUCUUCGGAACAUCUGAAUCAUGAAUAUUCAAUUGAUGAUACCCCAUUCUCAAGUCAAUCUUAGAGAACACCUUUGCACCCUGCAACUGGUCAAACAAAACAUCAAUACGCGGCAACAAGUACUUUUUCUUAAUGGUAACUUUAUUCAACUGGCGGUAAUCGAUGCACAUUCUCAUAGUCCCAUCUUUCUUCUUCACAAACAACACAGGUGCACCGCAAGGCGACACACACGGUUUGAUGAACUCCUUUGCUAUCAACUCCUCAAGCUGCUCUUUCAACUCCUUCUACUUUUUCGAAUCCAUGCGGUACGGUGGAAUAGCGAUAGGCUGGGUACCUAGAGCCAAAUCAAUACAGAAAUCGAUAUCACGAUUUGGUGGCAUGCUUGGAAGAUCAGCAGGAAACACAUCAGAGAACUCCCAUGCCACGGGCACUGAAUCAAUCACUGGAGUUUCUGUAGUAGUAUCCCGAGCCUAAGCUAGAUAAGCCAAAGAACCCUUCUCGACCAUGUGCCGAGCCUUUAGAAAAGAGAUAACCCGACUAGGUGCACUAACGGACGAGCCCUUCCACUUUAAUCUAGGCAACUCUGGCAUCGCCAAGGUAACAGUCUUGGCAUGGCAAUCAAGGACAACAUAAUAUGGAGACAACCAGUCAAUGCCUAGGAUGACCUCAGAGUCGGUCAUAUCAAGCAACAGAAGAUCUACUUUAGUCUCACAACCACAGAAAGUCACGAUAUAGGACCGAUAGAUCCGAUCCACAACAACAGAAUCGCCCACUGGCAUGGACACAUAAACAAGAGCACCGAAGGAUUCGCGAGGAAGACCUAGAAAAUGAGAAAAUAGACAUGAAACAUAUGAAUAUGUAGAUCUUGGAUCAAAUAGUACCGAAGCAUCCUUACCGCAGACAUAAAUGAUACCUAUGAUCCCGACAUCUGAGGCUACUGCAUCUGGUCUGGCUGGAAAGGCAUAGAACCUAGCUAGAGCGCCACCUGACUGGCCUCCACCUCUAAGAUGGCCCCUACCAACCUGCCCUCUGCCUCUGAGCGACCGGACGGCUGGUGCGGUAGCUGGUGCUGUAAUCAUAGGCUGAUGACCCUGCUGUACAGCCUUGCCCCGGAGUCUGGAGCAAAAUCUCUUCAUGUUGCCAGGAUCCCCGCACUCAAAACAACCCCUCGGAAUGGUGGACUGCUGACCUAAAGUCUGACCCUGAUGUCCUAAAUACCCACUAGAGGAACCCUGAAUAGCUGGCAGGCGGUAGGCGCUCUCUGGAAUAGCGUAAAAUAGGGCCGCACUGGAUAUGUGGUCCUGCUAGACUGACCCCUCACAAACUGACCUGUGCCCCCAAUCAUAGCACCACUGAACCCUUCAGAAUAUUGAAACCGCUUGUCCCUUGGCAUCUGCUCUCAUCUCCGCUGACGAACACCUUUGAUCCUCCGAGCUAUCUCUACAACUAACUCGUAAGAGGUCCCCAUCUCAACCUCUCGGGCCAUAGUGGCCUGGAUACCAGAGUGCAAACCUGCAAAAAACCUCCGCACUCUCUCUGCAUUGGUAGGAAGUAUCAAAAGUGUAUGGCGAAACAACUUAGAGAAUCUCGCCUCAUAGUCGGUCACCGAAAUCAGACCCUGCCAGAGCUGCUCGAACUGAAAUCGCAACUCUUCCCUCUGAGAGGGUAGAAUAUAUCUAUCCAGGAAGAGGCGUGCGAACUGAUCCCAAGUCAAGGUUGGAGAACCUGCUGUCCUGCCGAGAAGAUAGGGAUGUCACCAUCUACGGGUCCUGCCCUCUAGCUGAAAGGUGGUAAAGUUCACCCCGUGGGACUCCAGUAUCCUCAUGUUGUGCAGUCUAUCCCUGCAAUGAUCAAUAAAGUCCUGGGGGUCCUCAUGUCACUCAUCUCCAAAGACAGGAGGAUGUAGCCUGGUCCAUCUAUCCAAUAGCUUUUGCGACUCGCCGCCCGCAGUCGGUCUGGGCUCAGGUAUAGCUGCUGCAACUAGCUGAGCUCCGCCCACAGGUAGUGUGCCCAGGGUUUGAUAUACGAUAACUGCAUGCUUUGGAGCCUGAGCGGUAGGGAUCUAUGCUCCCCAUCCCGCCUAAGAUAUGGUUGGGUCUGCUAGAAAUAAACCAGCUUGAGUCAUAGAAUCCAUGAACCGCAACUUACGGCCCAUCGCCUCCUGGAAUCCUGGUUCAGACAUGAAGUCCACUGGGGCUGGCUCCGCUACAGGCACCUCGCCCUGCUCCUUAAUAGCAGGAUCCUCCACUGGAUCCACUGGUGGCACAACUGGAGCAACUCUAGGACGUCCUCGUCCUCUACCACGAGCUGGGGCCUUUCCUUUGCCUCUGCCUCGGCCUCUAGCAACAGGGACAACUGCUCCUUCAUGGUUGGGUACAUCUGCCGUGCGCGUUCUCUCCAUCUGUGAGAGAAUAAGAGAAAGACACUUAGCACAACAUCAACUGCAUGAUAGGAUAUGAAGAAAGUGUUGUUUCCUAACACCCUAUAGCCUCUCGAAGAUAAGUACGGACAUCUCCGCACUGAUCCGCAAGACUCUAUUAGGCCUGUUCAUAACUUGUGAGACCUACAUGAACCUAAUGCUCUCAAUACCUCACAACAUAAAUUCAUGUUCCUGACACAUUCCACAUGUCCAAACCAAGCACCAAAAUGAAAACCGGGUGCCUACGCUCGUAGUGACACGACCCAAUUUCCCUUAUAGGUCGUGAUGACGCCCAACGUAGUCGCUAGGAAAGCCAACGGUGAAUUAGUCUUGUAUUUAUUCUUUUUAUAAAUUUCAAAGUGGUUGAUUUUUAUUUAUUAAAUAAGUGAGAAGUGGAAAAUUUAAUAAAGUAAAGCAAAAACUAAUGAAAGAGCAAAUGCAGUGAAAUAAAUGCUCAAAAGCCAUAAAGUCUACUAGCAAGUUUCCAAGACCUAGUGUUACAAGUGUAUGAGCAACUAGUAGAAUAUACAAAUCACUAAGCUACUGUCUGAAAUAGAGUAGACAGAAAGUAAAUACAAAAGAGACACUCCGGGUGCUGCAGAACGGAAUCAGAAAGCAGCUCACCACUAAGCCUCGGGGUAACGAGGGUGCGUGCCUGAAUGGACACCAGAUGCACCUGCCUCAGAUCCUGCACGAUUAGUGCAGAAGUGUAGUAUGAGUACAUAAACAACAUGUAACCAGUAAGUAUCCAGUCUAACCUCGAAGAAGUAGUGACGAGAGGUCGACAUCGACACUUACUAUGGGCCAAUAAUAAAAUAUAGAAAUGCAAAAUAGGCAUGGAAUAUUUGAAUAAUAAAAAUAACUCAAUAGCAUGCAGUGAAUAAAUGAUUUUUUAACUGAUAGUAAAUUCCAAAAUGCCCAUCUAACACAUACUAGUUCCAAAUCAACUUCGGUCAUUAAGUAAAUUAUAACCUCUCAAGCCAUAACAUAAUGUCAAGUGUAAUCGGGCUCUGAGUAUUAUCACACAUGAUUUAUGCAGAGGUCGUCCGACCUGAUCCAAAAUACUGUGUGCACUGCCGAGGGUCGAAUGACACGAACCAUAGAUGCAUCUAUUAUAUUGCUGAGGCGAAUGGCCCGCUCCCAUGAGAGUAGAGAAGUUUAACUCGCUCGCAGAAGUACUUGCGACACGAGAGGACAUGAAUUUCUCAGAGUUAUUAUGUAUUCCUCAAUUCUUUCCAAAAAUAAGAAAUCUAAAUUAGAAGUUUUCAACUUUAAAAUCUUUAGUCUCAACUCUAUUUAAGAUAAUUAAUAUGCAUGACAAGCAUGACCAUAGAAUUAAAGCAUGAUGUGAAUCUAAGACUAUCCGGACAUCUAAUGGAAUAUAGCUGCACACGGACUCUUGUCACCUAGUGCGUACGUAGUUCCCCACAUAAGUAAUACACAAUAAAAAUGCACCUAAGGGGAUGAGUUCCCUCUUACAAGGUUAGGCAAGAGACUGACCUCGUUCCCAAGCUCAUUUCCGGUCCACUAAUCCGCUCUAAAAGCUCUAAGUCGAUGCCGAACAAUCCAAAACUAGUCAAAUAUUACAUAAUUUAAUCAAUAUAUACUCAAAACUUCAUAAUUUAGCUAUUAGAGUAGUUACCCAACCCAAAUUGGAAGAUUCCUAAAAUUCGCCCCCGGGCCCAGGUGCCUGGAUUCCUGAAAUUUUCGAAGAUAAAUAUUAUCCAUAGCCUCACGAACUCAAAUAUAUAAUUUUUAUUUAAUUCCAAAACCAAAUUUCGUGGUCAAAUCCCAUUUCUACCAAAACCCUAGGUUCUUCACAAAUCUCACAAGUUUUCACAAUCUUCCCAUUUUAAUCUACCUAAAACCUGCAUAAUUAACUUGAAAAUAAGUGGGAAUUACUUACCUUAGGAUAUUGAUGAGAAUCUCCCCUCAAAUGUUCUCUUAAAAUUUCCUAAGACCAAAUGAAAUGUGAGGGAAAAUGGCCUAAGACUCGCAUUAAAAACCGUCACUGCCCAGCGACUCCCGCACCUGCAGCCACUUGAUCGCAUAUGUGGAAUCACAAGUGCGGUAAAAAAGGUCGCACCUGCGAUCCCCCACUGCGUCCAGCUUCCUUGCUUCUGCGGACGGGGAGGCACUUCUGUGGGACCGCUUCUGCGGACUCCCUUUGCUUCUGCAGUUGCCUACUGCUUCUGCGACCCAUAACCGACCAACCCAAGUCUGCAUCUGCGGAGCCUCGAUUGCUUCUGCGAGUGCACAGAUAUGGAACAACCCUCGCACCUACGACCACCCAACUCCAGCCUCAGGCCCGCUUCUACGGCCACUUGGCCGCUUCUGCGAGGUCGCACCUAUGGCCAAACUCUCACAGGUGCGAACGCACCAGAACUAAAGGACCAACAAUUCCCCCAAGCCAAUUGCGAGUCCGAUUCCAAUCCGUUUCACACCUGGGCCCCCCCAGGACCCCAUCCAAUCAUACUCUCACCUCCACCAACAUGAUAUGGACCCACUCGCACGAUCGAAACAUUAAAAUAAUAUCAAUAAUUACGAAUCGAACACCAAAAUGCAUGAAUUCAACAUGAAACUCAAAACAUCUAAAAACACUUCUGCGUGUCCGAUUCCUAUCAAAUCAACUCGGAAUGACGCCAAAUUAUGCGUGCAAGUCAUAAAUCACCAUACAGAACUACUCCCAGGCUCGAAAUCCCAAACAAACCUCAAAAACACGAAAACCUACUCUAAACCAAACUUAAAGAACUUGAAAACCUUCAAUGGGCCAACUUCUAAUAUUAAGCGCCGAAAUGCUCCCGGGUCAUCCGAAACCAAUCCGAAUAUACGUCCAAGUCCAAAAUUAUACAAACCUAUUGGGACCGUCAAAUCUCGGUUCCGAGGUCGUUUACUCAAAAUGUUGACUCAAGUCAAACUUCACCAUUUUAAGCCAAUAUUAAGGAACUAAGUGUUUCGAUUUCAGCCCGAACCCUUCCAAAACCGAACUAACCAUCUCUGCAAGUCAUAAAAUAGUAAAAACACAUAUGAUGAGUCUUAAUUAGGGGGACAGGGAUCUAGAAAGCCAAACGACCAGUCGGGUCAUUACACGUAGGGCCCAAAGUAAUAUGAGUAAUCACCUGACCCUGGAGGGACGGAUCCUCAAAGCGUUGUUCAUUUAACAAUUAAUGAUCGAUAACCAAUAUAUCAAUUUCUGCUCAUGGUGUAUGUAAUGCCAAAAUCCUCAACUUUUCACAACAACCAAAUCUCAACACAUGCAUAUGUGUAUGAACCAAUAUAAUAAAGAAGCAUUGGACAUAACAAUAAGAAUGUAAAAGCUCAUAUAGCUAAAAGACGACGAUCAUGCAAUUUAAUUUAUCACAACAGAUCAAUAAUCUAUUUAAGCAUGCACAAAUCUAAUCAUAUUAUCUAACAUGAGUCAAUUAAGCCAUAUAACCACCAAAUCAUGGAGAAAAUAAGAUAAAUGUAAGACUAUGGAUUAAUAAUAAAUCUCAACAUGGAAAAAUAAUCCUUUAUAUCUGAUUCAACAAGUCAUAAACUUAAGAAUGCUCCUAAAUCAUAAUUAUGAAUCAUCACAUAGUAUUAGAAUCAAUUUGAAACAUAGAUAAUAACUUCACAUAAUCCAAACAGGGCAUAACUCAAGUUAGCACUACUAGAUAUGGUCAUGACCUAGAUAUGCAUAUACACACUUCACCUCGAAUAUACGUGGCUCCUAAAUCAAUCACAAGUAGCAAAUAGAUCACCUAUGUGGAGAAUUCUCUUUUACAAGGAUAAACAAGAGACUUACCUUCAUUUGGUAAGCUUCAACUUUCUAAAAUAUCUUUCCCUCACAAAUCAACCUCCAAACGACUCGAAUCUAGUCAAAUACAACUUAAUAACGUCAAACAAAGCCAUAAGAAUCCAUUCCAAAUAGUAAAUCUUCUUAAUCAAAUUUCCAAGAGUCAACAAAAGUCAACUUAGGCUCACAUGGUCAAAACCCAAGUCAAGGGAUAGAUCCUGACUACCCAUAACCUCAUGAGUCUAAAUAUGUGAUUAGAUUUCAAAAUCGAGUUCAAAUCGGUACUCAAAUCCCUAAAUUACACUCUCUUAAAUUGUAGACAAAUACCUCAAAUUUUCUUUUGAAUUUCAUAAUAAGUGUAUAAAUUCAUGGGAAAACAAGAUAUAUGAUCAAAAUCAAUUAUAAAUCACUUACUCUCAAAGAGGUAGGGAAAAUCCCUUCCAAAAUCGCCUAUUGCCGAGCCCAAAAUAGUGAAAUAUGAGCUAACCCUUGAUAAAUGACCAAAAGUUCUUGAUUUUGACGGUGUUUUAUUGCAUUUGUCGUGUGAGUUAAGGAGAUUACAUGAUUUUUGAAGUGAAAUAUACUCAUUACGUGUUUUUUGUGUGCAGGAGUGAGUUCAGAUGAUAAUGGAUCACAAGA